rnacentral:rRNA from 1 species
AGCGAACGCUGGCGGCAGGCUUAACACAUGCAAGUCGAACGGGCAUCUUCGGAUGUCAGUGGCAGACGGGUGAGUAACACGUGGGAACGUACCCUUCGGUUCGGAAUAACUCAGGGAAACUUGAGCUAAUACCGGAUACGCCCUUUUGGGGAAAGGUUUACUGCCGAAGGAUCGGCCCGCGUCUGAUUAGCUUGUUGGUGGGGUAACGGCCUACCAAGGCGACGAUCAGUAGCUGGUCUGAGAGGAUGAUCAGCCACACUGGGACUGAGACACGGCCCAGACUCCUACGGGAGGCAGCAGUGGGGAAUAUUGGACAAUGGGCGCAAGCCUGAUCCAGCCAUGCCGCGUGAGUGAUGAAGGCCUUAGGGUUGUAAAGCUCUUUUGUCCGGGACGAUAAUGACGGUACCGGAAGAAUAAGCCCCGGCUAACCUCGUG